rnacentral:rRNA from 1 species
UACGUAGGGGGCAAGCGUUGUCCGGAUUUAUUGGGCGUAAAGAGCUCGUAGGCGGUUCGGUAAGUCGGAUGUGAAAUCUCCAGGCUCAACCUGGAGGGGUCAUUCGAUACUGCCGUGACUAGAGGUCGGUAGGGGAGUGUGGAAUUCCUGGUGGAGCGGUGAAAUGCGCAGAUAUCAGGAGGAACACCCGUGGCGAAGGCGGCUCUCUGGGCCGAUACUGACGCUGAGGAGCGAAAGCGUGGGGAGCGAACAGG